AAUACCUGUAGAGAUGCAGUGUCGGUGCUAGCUGAACACCGUUGAUAUCACUGUUGUGUAUGAGAUAUCAGAAGGAUGCAAAAAGGUUUUUGAAGUAAUUUAGUUCCCACUUCUGUGCUGGUGUUGGAUGUUAUUCAGGUUCAAGGAGCAACGUGGAGGAAGUGAGCAUUUGCAAACUGUAGUAUUAUUUCUGUAGUAAAGAGAAGCUUUAAUCAGUUGUUGGAUAUAGGUAUAAGGCGUGGUUUGCUUGAGUUUGUCACAUACGGAUCUUAAGUAUUAACUAAUGCUUCAUCAAAAAAAGCUUAGGUGAUAAUUCCUAUCUAAAGGAGAAUGUAAGUGUUGUCAGUUUCCUUACAAAGCCAUUAGUUUGCAAUACUAGCAACCUACACAGCAAAUAAGUACCACCAUAUUCUUCACGUUUACUCGGGUGUAUGUACUUCACUGCUUUGCAAUAUUUCUCUUGCUGUGAAACAGAAGCAUGGGGUAGAACACAGAAUGAGCUGUUGUCUAACUAUUCUGCUAAGUUUUUCCUUGCACCAGUGUUGACUGUUUCAAUUUACAGAAUUACUAAAAGGCUGAUGCUAACGUGUAUCCACAAAGCAUUCAAAUGUAUUGAUUUACUUGAGAAGAGUGAGCCAGUAAGCCGAAAAUGGGCUUGUAAGCCACUGCAGCUUUCAAAUUCACUAUCAUCAAAUAUGUGAAUUGUGAGCUGCUAUAUAGGGCUGUUUGGUUACAAAGGUUUUGGUUCUGUUUACAACUUAAGGUAUAAGAGAUGUUGCAGACGGCCUGGGUGAUCGUGUAUCAGUACAGGUUGGGGGAUGACCUGCUGGAGAGGAGCUUGGCAGGGAAGGACGUGGGGUUGCUGGUGGAUGACAGAGUAGAUCCUAACGUAUCUUUUGAUUAUUCAGAAUAUUCAAGAUCUGUUUCAGAGGAUACAGGUAAGAAUAAAUCACUGGAAGAACAAAAAUUGAGAAGCUGUUUCUUUAUAAUGGUGGAGUAUUUCUGAUCAAAUAUUAAAUUUAACAAGAAAAAUGUAUCUAGGACAGGAGGUGAGCAAUUCCCUUAUUACUUAUAACCUACCUUCAUGUAAGUGCAUGACUUUUUUUUUUUUCUUCAGUGCUUCUCAGUUUGCAGUAUGAAAUUCCUCUUGAACUAGAAGAAAUGUAACCUUAUUCUCAGUGCCAGCUCCCCCUUGCAGUCAGAGGAGAAUGGGUUAAAAAUACUAGCUGUAAAGAAAAACAAGAUAUGUGUAGUAGCUUCCAGAGGGCGGACUUCCAGUUGUUCAGAAGACUAGUAGGAGGAGUCUACUAGGAUUCAGUCUUAGAGAGUAAAGGGGUCCAAGAUGGCUGGUUGCUGUUCAAGAAGGAAGUCUUAAGGUGCAGAAGGGAAGAAGACCGGCAUGGAUGAAUAGGGAGCUAUUCUCAAGGCUCCAGGAGAAAAAGAGAAUCCACCUCCUGUGGAAGAAGGGACGGGCAACUCAGAAAGAAUACAAAGAAGUUGUUAAAAUGUGCAGAGAGAAAAGCCCAGCCCAGCUUGAACUCAACCUGGCUGCUGGGGUAAAAGGGAACAAGAAACUCUUUUACAAGUGUAUCAACAGUAAGAGGAGGACCAGGGAGAAUCUCCAUUCUUUACUGAAUGAGGCUGGGAAUGUGACCACUGAGGAUAAGGAAAAGGCAGAGGUUCUGAAUGCCUUCUUUACAUCUGUCUUUAAAAGUCAGACCAGUUAUCCUCAGGGUACUCCACUCUCUGACCUGGUAGUCUCAGCUGGGGAGCAGACUAAACCCCCCAUGAUUCAGGAGGAAAGUCAGAGACCUUAUACUCCACCUGGACUGCCACAAGUCCAUAGGACCGGAGGAGACUCACCUGGGAGUGCUGAGGGAACUGGCAGAGGUGAUAGCCGAGCCGCUUUCCAUCAUCUGUCAGAUUGAUGGCACCCAUUCAGAGGUGGGGUCUCAAGAUGAGGCCUUUUUUUUUUUUUUUGCCUGAGCUGAACUAAUGGUCUUCUCUCAAGCUUGAGCCUGUGCUCAAGAUUAUCAUCAGCAGCUCUUCUUUGAAGCAGAUUUGAUGUGUGUAAGUUUACUUGCUCCUUUGCACCAAAUUCUUGUUUCCGAUUCCAGACUCCUUGAUAAAGGCAAGUCAUCCCCCUUAUUUCGAGCAAGAGUUCUGAAAUACCACAUCAGCUAGUUGAGGGCUAAAAAAUUACUGCAUGUGCUUUAAAUUGAUGUUCAUGGAGACUAUUGUUUGAAGUACCUGCAUCAUCAAAACAAAAGGAAUCUGAUAAUCUUGCCUUCAGGGCUCAAGCCAUGAUAAAGCACUUGCACUUCUAUUAGCCUCAGCUCAUUCUCUUCUCAUGCAAACUUGACAUACAACCCAUAAAUGAAAUCUUAUUUUAUUUUAGGAACAUAAUGGAUUCUUUUUGUUCUCUGAUAAACAGAAGAAAAAAAUAUAACAUCUAUUUGCUGUCAUAAAAUCCUCCCUUCCCUUCCCCCCCCCCCCCCCCCCCAAGACUUUAUCUAAAUACAACAGAAUGUAACAAAUAUUUUUUAGAUAUGCACAAAUCUAUACAAUUUCCUGCUCAGCAUCUCUCAAAAACUUUAUACAAGUCAGGCAGGUUAGCAAGCUGCAAAAUGUUGCCAUCAUCUGUGAAGUGUUUAGGAGGUAAAAGAUGAGUCCUAAAGGCUUUGUAAACAACAUGCUCCACUGUCCAUUUCCAUGGCGGUGGACCAGAGUCAGAAUCCUCAUUCUGAAACAUGGAACAGAAAGAAUAAACAAAUUAAGUUAUUUCACUUAACGGAGAGCACUUCAACUUUGUCAGACUACUGAGACUAAAAUUCUGCUAGUAUUCAAGUUCAUUCUGUACUGCCAAGGUAAUUUUAAGCUCUGAAAAAUCCCUUUGAGUGGUGCCACUUGAACUGGCUACCUUAACUGAAUGAUUAAACAGAUACUUACACAUAAGCAAACUACAUUUUAGGUUUAUAUGCAUCCUCCUAUAGAAGCUUACUGUAGUUCAACAGGUUAGGAAAAAACACUUUCAAAACUGAGACCAAGUGAAUACAUGAAGUAUACUGCAAUGCCCAGUGUUAAAAGGUUCAGUACAGUUAGGAAAAGUGAGCCACAUUGUUUCAGAAACAUGCUGCACCACUACUUGAUUCACAUCACUGAAAGCAGAUUUGGGAUUAGAAGUCUGUAGUUUGGGGGAGAAAAAAAAAUAGAGUUUGUCUUGUUAAUGCUUGUUACAUAAGUAGUAACAUAUUAUGGUACCUGAGAGCGCGUCAGGUUGGUUUCAUCUAUUAUAUAUUGUUUUCUAAUGGAGUAGAACAUAGACAGUUCUUUACUUAGGGUUUCAAAGCACUCCUUCUCUUCAUCCCAGUUUACCUGUAAGAAGAAAGAAGGAAUCUCAUAAAACCUGGGUAAGUGGCCAGAGACUUGGUAACAAUUCCUAAUAUAGAGGAAAAAAAUAAAAAUCACAGAAGCACAGAAUUGUAAGGGAACUCAAGUUAUCAUAGAGCCCAACCCCACUGCUAAAGCAGGUUCUCUACAGUACAGAAUAAUGCUUUGGCCAUUUUUGUUCAGUGCCUUCACCUUACCAGCACAGAAAUGAGUAAAAAUGAAGGCAUUCAAAUCAAAACAUACUCAAUUAGUAGUUAUGAAUGUAGAGGCGAAGUCCAAUUAAUCAGUAACUAUUGCAAGAGUGCCUGGAGUGUGUAACAGUGCAUUUAAUCUAUUUCAGCCCCUCCUUUGCAGUUUAUCAUUAAUUCAUUUGAUUUACUUCAUUAUUUCCUAAAUUUAAAAAGACAUUAGAAAACAAAUAACUUACAAAAACAUACCUCAGUGGCCAAACGAAGGAUGAACAUCGGUAGUCCCUCCAGCAGGGGAAUGUAGUUGUCUAUCAGAAGUGGUAAUCCAGUAAGGUUUCCUUCCUGCAAAGGCAAUGCUACUACUUCAGUAAAAAAAUAUGUUUUUUCUUCCAGUGAAUGCAUUAGAACUGUUACCUAUUUUAAGACUGUUUUUUGCUAAACUUGCUGAGCACUAGGGGGUAUCUGAAGUUGCAAGUUUUUGAAGCCCAAUUCCAGGCAGCCAUUGAGGGAAAAGGGAUGGUGGUGGUGUUUAACUUACUAUGCCUCAGUUUAGAGCUUUCACCUCUGGGAGACAUCAACUCAGCUUCCUCCUCUACCCACUGACUAUGCUGAUCCUAUUUCCACUGAGAAUACUGAGGUAAGAAGUCUAGGUUAUAUGACACACUUGCUAAAGCUGUUCAGUUUUGUACAGAAUAAAAAGAUGGAAUAGGCCACACACCAAUAUUAGAAGCAAGGGAGAUCCCAUAGCUCAGCCUGGGCUAAAGUUAUACUGCACACCUUGUUGGACAGGAAAGCUGCAGGCUAGGCAAUGACUCAAGUAUUUUAUUUGAUAGUCUAUUAAACUUUGCAUAGCCCUCCCUUAAAGGUAGCAUAAGUCCUGAGCAUUUUUAAUGAAAGGAGUGAACCACGCAUGUCUUACCAGAGCUAGCUCUUGCUGAUAGUAAGCACUGCAAGCAAACUAUUGCUAUUACCAGAUGCCAAAACGUAGCACUAUUUAGUGUGAAGAGUAAUAGCAGCAGUCACCUCAUCAAUUUCAAGAGAGAAAUAAUCUUUCAACAUUUCAGUCUUCUUUUUCAGAAACUCAACUAUGUACUCAGCAAGACCUUCUUUUGGGCCAUCUUCUUCUGUCCAGCCACUCUCUGGGUCCUCUAAAGCAAGCAUUGCAAGCUCAUAUAAAGGAGCUGGCUCCUAGAAGUAGAAGUGUUGUUAAUGAUCAGCCCACUGCCUCCACCCUAAAAAAAAAAACCAGAUUCUUCCUUCACAUGUAAUGUGAGUUAAAUAUACAGUUUCUAGCCUGCAGAGCACAUCAGCUCAUCAACCAGUCUAAAAAGUGUGAAUUUAUUUGUGAAAAAACGCUAUGAAGUCCACAGUCGUGCAAAGUGUUGUUGAUACUCACAGGAUAAGCACUAUCAUUCAAUAGUAUUUCUGGUAAGCACAGAAAGUACAUUACAGUUAUUUGUACUGAUGUACAAGCAAAGCCUGGUGAAUAGUCUGAAAUACAACUAGCAGCCAGGAUCACAAUGGACAGCUGCAGCUACAAAAUUACUACAGCUUUGCCACUCUAUAUUCCUGUAAAGGAAACGGCACACCACUCCUAUAGUGAACAAAAAUGAAGCUAUAAACAUAUACGUUAUUUGAGAAGACAGGGUUACUGUAACAAAAAAAAAAAAUAUUAUAUAGAAUAUAAUGUAAAGUUAUACUUACAGAGAGUCUCAGAACGCCAAAGUUUGCAAAGUCAUAAAUAAGUAUCUGGUAGAAAAGUUCUUGGCUAAAUUGAAAUACAAACAUUUGUUGUAUGAACACAGUCACGCAUCUCCAAGGUAUCCUGAUUAAGAGGGGGAAAACAAUGGGUCAUCUUGGAAACAACAGCUUUGUUACCUGAGUUUUGUUGUAUUGAGAAGAUACAGUUUUGUCCGAUGCUGCACCAGAGCCCACUGAGGGCUGACACAGCCAACAAAUGAGUGAUCACGCAGCAUCUCCUGAAGACUUUCAUGUGAUUGGUUGCUAAUUUCCUCCUGAAGAGUCAACACACUGGUCAAAUUGAUAAUUCUUCUCUUAGGGGUGCAGGCAGCAGUCAUUUCCUUUCUGUUGUCUUCUUCCAUUUGUAUGUCUGUGUCUUCCCGUGGUCUCUUUCGAGGAAGCGCUUUCUCAGGAGACAAGUGUCCGCUCUUACUCGGCCCUCCAGGCAUCACUGCAUCCUGCUGAACGUCAGCCAUCUCAAUCAGAUCAGCUGUUUCAAGAAGCUCACUCACGUCUUCCAUUUCAGCGUCCUGUGGCCUAACUGUGCCCUCUGGAGGUCCCACUUUAUCUCCUGUUGUCUCUUCGGUGGGGCCUGCACUCAGGGGGUUGUUCACUGGCUGAAGAAAAGCAUCCAACUUCUGCUCUCGGGAAUCAGUGCGGACCAUUUGGUGUGCAUAAACUUUAUCACUGGUUCCCUUUGCAGCCGUAGAAGAGCUUGCUGCUGAUUUUACC
rnacentral:lncRNA from 1 species